GUAGGUGGCAAGCGUUGUCCGGAAUUAUUGGGCGUAAAGCGCGCGCAGGGCGGUCCUUUAAGUCUGAUGUGAAAGCCCACGGCUCAACCGUGGAGGGUCAUUGGAAACUGGGGGACUUGAGUACAGAAGAGGAAAGCGGAAUUCCAAGUGUAGCGGUGAAAUGCGUAGAGAUUUGGAGGAACACCAGUGGCGAAGGCGGCUUUCUGGUCUGUAACUGACGCUGAGGCGCGAAAGCGUGGGGAGCAAACAGGAUUAGAUACCCUGGUAGUCAACGCCGUAAACGAUGAGUGCUAAGUGUUAGGGGGUUUCCGCCCCUUAGUGCUGCAGCUAACGCAUUAAGCACUCCGCCUGGGGAGUACGGCCGCAAGGCUG
rnacentral:rRNA from 1 species